GUUGUCGUGGCCGAGUGGUUAAAGGCGAUGGACCAGAAAUCCCACGCAGGUUCAAAUCCUGCCGACAACA